UGAGUUCUGAUUUUGACAGAGAGAGAGAGAGAGAGAGAGAGAUUGAAGCUAACCCACAAGAACAUAUCAAAAUGCCACGCUACCGUGAUGAAUGUAACGUGCAAGGAAAAAGAGGCUCGUCAAGCUCUCUAUAAUUGGCUGUGGCGGGUCUUGUCUCGGAGAACAGGGGGGUUCCGUAACAGAGUGCUAGUUAAAGGUGAAGAAAGUUCAUAAACUAAUGGAGACAAAGAGAGAGAAAGCAGCUUUUUCUUAGCAAGGAAGGAACGGGCCUGCUUUCCAAACGGUUUCUGUCUGAAUCUGCCAUGUCC
rnacentral:lncRNA from 1 species